CCUACGGGUGGCAGCAGUGAGGAAUAUUGGUCAAUGGCCGCAAGGCUGAACCAGCCAUGUCGCGUGAAGGAAGAAGGAUCUAUGGUUUGUAAACUUCUUUUAUCGGGGAAUAAAGGUAUCCACUUGUAGCUAUUUGCAUGUACCCUAUGAAUAAGCAUCGGCUAACUCCGUGCCAGCAGCCGCGGUAAUACGGAGGAUACGAGCGUUAUCCGGAUUUAUUUGGUUUAAAGGGUGCGUAGGUUGUUGUUUAAGUUAGCUGUGAAAGUAUGUGGCUCAACCAUAAAAUUGCCGUUGAAACUGGAAGACUUGAGUGUGGUUGAGGUAGGCGGAAUGCGUGGUGUAGCGGUGAAAUGCAUAGAGAUCACGAAGAACGCCGAUGGCGAAGGCAGCUUACUAAGCCAUAACUGACACUGAAGCACGAAAGCGUGGGGAUCAAACAGGAUUAGAUACCCUGGUAGUC
rnacentral:rRNA from 1 species